rnacentral:rRNA from 1 species
UACGGAGGGAGCUAGCGUUAUUUGGAAUUACUGGGCGUAAAGCGUACGUAGGCGGCUUUGCAAGUUAGAGGUGAAAGCCUGGAGCUCAACUCCAGAACUGCCUUUAAAACUGCAUCGCUUGAAUCCAGGAGAGGUGAGUGGAAUUCCGAGUGUAGAGGUGAAAUUCGUAGAUAUUCGGAAGAACACCAGUGGCGAAGGCGGCUCACUGGACUGGUAUUGACGCUGAGGUACGAAAGCGUGGGGAGCAAACAGG